rnacentral:rRNA from 1 species
GAUGAACGCUGGCAGCGUGCCUAAUACAUGCAAGUCGAGCGAACAGACGAGGAGCUUGCUCCUCUGACGUUAGCGGCGGACGGGUGAGUAACACGUGGAUAACCUACCUAUAAGACUGGGAUAACUUCGGGAAACCGGAGCUAAUACCGGAUAAUAUAUUGAACCGCAUGGUUCAAUAGUGAAAGACGGUUUUGCUGUCACUUAUAGAUGGAUCCGCGCCGCAUUAGCUAGUUGGUAAGGUAACGGCUUACCAAGGCAACGAUGCGUAGCCGACCUGAGAGGGUGAUCGGCCACACUGGAACUGAGACACGGUCCAGACUCCUACGGGAGGCAGCAGUAGGGAAUCUUCCGCAAUGGGCGAAAGCUUGACGGAGCAACGCCGCGUGAGUGAUGAAGGUCUUCGGAUCGUAAAACUCUGUUAUUAGGGAAGAACAAAUGUGUAAGUAACUAUGCACGUCUUGACGGUACCUAAUCAGAAAGCCACGGCUAACUACGU